AAGUCGUAACAAGGUUUCCGUAGGUGAACCUGCGGAAGGAUCAUUCAUAAUAAGUGUUUUAUGGCACUUUUUAAAUCCAUAUCCACCUUGUGUGCAAUGUCAGUCGAUCUUCUUCAUGGAGAUUGACCAAACAUCAACCUUUAUUUUUUAACUCUUUGUCUGAAAAAUAUUAUGAAUAAACAAUUCAAAAUACAACUUUCAACAACGGAUCUCUUGGCUCUC
rnacentral:misc_RNA from 1 species